rnacentral:rRNA from 1 species
AUUGAACGCUGGCGGCAUGCUUACACAUGCAAGUCGAACGAGUGGCGAACGGGUGAGUAAUACAUCGGAACGUGCCCGAUCGUGGGGGAUAACGAAGCGAAAGCUUGCUAUACCGCAUACGAACGGAGCGGCCGAUGGCAGAUUAGGUAGUUGGUGGGGUAAAAGCUUACCAAGCCGACGAUCUGUAGCUGGUCUGAGAGGACGAACAGCCACACUGGGACUGAGACACGGCCCAGACUCCUACGGGAGGCAGCAGUGGGGAAUUUUGGACAAUGGGGGAAACCCUGAUCCAGCCAUCCCGCGUGUAUGAUGAAGGCUUCGGGUUGUAAAGUACUUUUGGCAGAGAAGCGGUAUCUGCAGAAUAAGCACCGGCUAACUACGUGCCAGCAGCCGCGGUAAUAC